rnacentral:tRNA from 2 species
CGGGACGUGGCGCAGCCUGGUAGCGCGCACGCUUGGGGUGCGUGAGGUCGCGAGUUCGAAUCUCGCCGUCCCGACCA